AUUGUGUUCAAAGAGCCAUGAGAACUACUGAAGACUUUGUAAGCUCAGGAGUGCUGCAGUUCCACAUGUUUUUGACAGUUACUCAGUCCUUAGAGCCAGGAGACUCAUUCACAAAGCCACUCAAUCUGGGAAAAUAGAAGUGGGAUUUGUCAGAUGCCUGUAUGAACCAAGGGUAUCAUGUUAUACUGUGUGCUUAUUGAUUCAACCUGUUCUUCCAAUUCUCUUCACCACAAGGAAAUAAAAUGGUUUAAUGCUAACUAUAGUGAUCCCAAUUACAGUGAUUCUAACAAACUACAUACAGCAAGAUAUUUCAUGGUGUUCUUAACCUUGACCUAGAGUUGCAUUCUUGAGCUGACAAUGGCAAUGACCUGUGAAAAUGAGAGGGGACGCUUGACUUUCCACAUGGGUGUAGCCCCCCCCCAAGCCAAAAUUGAACUUAAAGUCAGUAGGAUUGAAAAUGCCCUCUAGGAGAGUGGUUCAGAUGACUAGAAUUGAGUCCUCCUGGAUUCAAAUCUAGCCAGUAUCAAUGAGAUCCAAGGAGCAGGCAACUGAGCCCAGGAGACAGGGCUACCCACUUGGGCCACAAUUUCACCACUGCCGUGAGGAGGAACAGGCCAGGUUACGCCAAGGCCCCUGCUUCUUUGGUGACUCACUCCUCCUAGCCCUACUCCAGUUCAUAGCCAACAGGCUAUCAUACUUCCGCAACAUUUCUCAGGUGUCAGACACUGUUCUAAGCAAUGGAGAUGAUAAUGGUACGGACAUUGUGACAGUGUGAGAACAAAUGAACCUUAUUCUCAAAUGUACGUACAGGUACUUAUAUGGGAAGAGAAAGUGUUUAGUGCUAAUAUAUGCAUUUUCCACUUCCUUUACUCUCUAUACAUUUAUAUUUAGUUUUCAUGAUACACAUAUUAUUAUCCUCAUUUUUAUCUCCAUUUACCUGCACUAUCCCCAGUAAUAAUAUUGACAUUGUGAAAAUCAAUAACAUUAUACACACACAGUGUUUAGUCCUUACAUGUAGAAAAGCUAUGUAUAGAUAUAAAGAUAUAGACAGGGACAUCACAACGUCCAUAUUAUUCUCAUCUCCAUUUUCAGAUAAGUGACAGAUUGGGCACGAGGGGUUAAAUAACGUACCCAAGACUGUGCAGCUGAAAAGAAGCCCCAGGGUCUGCGCUCACCUCCUCCUAAGGCCUCCACAAUAGGUGCAAAGCAGGUGCAUGAACCCAGCCCACCGGCCUCAGUAAUUGGUCUGAGGGUAGAUCGUUCACCCAGGCUGGCCCAAUAAUUGGAUGAUGGUCCAUGGCCACCAACGGGUCCAGACUCUGUGGAUAUGGUCCAGGUGUGGUCCUAACGGAAGAUUUCCUGAGAGUUUUUGUCUCUCCAGAGGCCAGAAUGAGAAAAAGAAAAGCAAGGAAUUGUGGAUGCAUUGAAGCCAGUCUGGUAUAGAAAACAAGGGGAAGAGCGAGGCCCAAAAUCAGAGAGAGGGAAGAGCGAGAGGAAGAAUAAGUGAAUCUUGGGGGAGCUCAGAUCCGUCUGUGCCUAUAUCUGCCCUUCUUUCCCAAGGCUUGGAUUUCAGCUCUUCCGUUGACUCUGAGAGCAACUUGGAAAUCUCUGGCUGGGCUGGUUCUAGUUGGGUUCCCAUCCCUUGUUACCAAAGUUGCCCAUACCAACAGGCUGCUGGCUAGUAGAGAUCAGCACAGAUUUCCUGCCACCACCCCGCCCACUCAGAGCGAGGUGCAAGUGCCAAAAGUAACCCUAAUAAGUCUAAGUGUUUGUGUCCCCUGAGGGACUUUGAAUACAAUGGUUAAGUUCCAAGGAAUCAUUCAUUCAACAGCUUCGGAACAUCUGGGUAUUAUCUGAACUCAGUGAAUCUCUGCCUUCUGUUAUUAAUUGGAGCAGUUGCCCUCAGCAGCCACCAGCAGAAAGUGGGCACCAUGGCUCAGUAUGCUUUUCCCUGGCUGCCCAUCAGUCUGCAUUCUCCGUGGUGCUCAUUGUCCUUUGAAUCUUUGUCCAUGAGGUGUCUACUCAAUUUUAAUCAUCGAUAAUAGUAUUUCUAUCAUCGAGAGGACAUAAGUCAUCUGGAAUAACAAAGAGCGACCUUGGCCAGGUAGGUAGGGGAAAAAGUGCUGUGAAUUUUACAUUGAUUUCCUGCAUUUGGCUCAAGUGCUGUUUUUCUCUGACGUUGUCUUCUUUCUAGGUUAUAUGUAAUGUUAUUACAAUUGGUCACUCAACACAUUUUUCCUGCAUGUCUACUCUAUGUUAGCCAAUGGGCUGGGUUGUCUGGAGUGUGAAGAUGAAAGAGGUAGCAUCAUAGCCUUCAAGGAGAUUCCUCUAACAGUGGAUUCAAGUACAGCAUAAGACACUGUUGAUGGCUUCCUCAGCAUCUAGUCCUUCUUUCUUCUUCACAGACACCUGCUAUUGCUCAGCUACCUGUCUUGGGCUGCCUACAGGCCCUGGGACAAGCUGACCCAUUCCUGGCUUGAGGACUGGGCACAAGGCUCCUGAGAACCCCCUUCACCUUGCCAAGACUGGUUACUGCAGGAACCCAGGCUGAGCUGGUCAGCCCAUGGCCUUCCCGUCUAGCAAGACUGACUCAGAAGCAAAGAGCUGAGCUCAAAGAGGUCACUGAGAUCAAGAAGGAAAUUUUGCUAUCUCUUUCUGGCCUGGGAUAUAAUGAAACCAUUACAACUGUCACAUGUCCACUUGGAGAUGGUGCCAGCCCCAGAGGAAGGACAAGUCAAAAUGAAUUACAGAGAAACUGAGCAAAAGCAUCCUGAUCAAGCCAAGCCUGAAGUCCAACCAAUCUCUGCCUUCCCAGCAGCAAGAGUCUAUAUUCUAUUUCUUCAUUACUUAAGGAAGUUUGAGUUGAUUUCAUUCUAAUGGAUAGAGACAGAGGAACGGACACUCAGCUAGCAAUGUAAUAGAUCCAGAGAGCGUUAAAGGAACUCUGAGGAGGGGUACCUGCGUAUCCCAGUGGGGAGGGGUUGCAUAGACAGGUCAGGGAGGCCCUCUGGGGAAAAGACACCCAAGUGAAGCCUUAAAGGAUAAAUCAGAGACAAACAAAUGAGGGAAGGGGUUAGGGCAAGAGAGCCUUUCUGCCAUAGAGGGAACCAUCAGACAGAAACAGAAGGAAAAUGGCACAGGAUCAACAUGCCCAAGUCACAGAUUACAACGUGGAAAGUAGACAGUGAGGCUGGAGCCAUAUCACGAAAGAUUUGGAGGCCAUGAAAAGGACCAUGAACUUGACCUGCAGAUGACGGGAGGCAGGCUUGGCAUCAUCAGAUUCACAUAGUAGACAGGUCCCUCUGAUACCCUGGCAGAAGACAGCCCGGAGGUCUGAGACAGCUUCUCCACUGCAUCUUUGCAAAAGCAGCCAGUGGCUCUAUGUAAAUUAAUGAAUGUGGCUGGGUUCCAGUAAAAUGAUUUUUAUAAACAUAGGCUCUGUCUGACUUCAGAUUUCCAGCACCUUGGAAUUUCAUAAAAAGCACACAUCCAAGAGGAUGAGUCUCCUGCUCAUAAUCUUCCUGUGAACUCCCAUCACACUUAGAACAGAUCUCAACUUUCCCAAAGCCUCCCAGGCUCCGAGCAGCCCGCCUCCCUUACUGACUUUGCCUCCAGCCGGUCCUGCCCUUAUGAAGGUCUUUCCAACUACAGUGGCCUUCCGCUGACUCUUGGUUGCUCCUAGUUUAUUCCCACCUGAGGUCCCCAGCACUAGCUUCUCCCUCUGUGUGGAACGCUCUUCCCCCAGCAAUGCGCAUGGCUCCCUCCUUUCUAUGAUCCAUGUCUCUGUUCAAAUGUCACUCCCCAGAGACAGUUUUUCUGACUACUUUUUUUUUUUUUUGGCCAUAUGUGUGGCAUAUGGAAUGUCCCAGGAUAAGGGUCGAAUCGGAGCUGUAGCCACCGGCCUACACCACAUCACAGCAAUGCCAGAUCUGAGCCACAUCUGUGACCUACACUAAGCUCAUGGCAAUGCUGGAUCCUUAACCCACUGAGUGAGGUCAGGGAUCAAACCUUUGUCCUCACGGAUACCAAUCAUGUUUGUUGCCGCUGAGCCACAACAGCGAGUCCUGACCACUCUUGCUAAAUUAGCCCCCUCUCCUCCCCCAGCAAGCUCUGUCCCCUGAACUUGAUAAAUUCUUCUCUUCACAGCCGUUAUUACUUCCUGACUUUACAGGGUAUGUUUGUUUGUUUACUGAUUUCUUAUCUCUUUUUCUCCCUGGAAGGCAGCUCCAUUAGAGCAGGUAAUUUUGUCUUGCUCAUGGUUACAGCCCCAGUCUAGAAUAUUGCCUGGUAUAUGAUAGACAAAGAGUAUCUAUCAAAUAGCUGAAUGAUUCCAUUUCUGCCUUAGAUCACCAGAGCAACCCACAGGGCGGGGACCUUUUCGGGAGAGAUUGAAAGCCUAUUUGAGAUUGUGCCCAUCAUUUCCUAUGCAGAGACCUUCAUGUUUCUCACUGAGUGCCUUCAGCUCUUCUCACGGCCUCUUUGCAUCCUAUGACACCUCCCCUAGCCUCAUCCUAGGAAAAUCCAGAAUGCUCUUAUAUCAGGAUUUGCAAUAGCCAGCAAAGUCAAGUGUCCAAAAUUAACAAACAGGCCUCUAGUUUCCCUAAAGUCGAAGGAAGUUCAAGAUGUUAGUGUGACAUAGGGACAGAGGCAAGAAGGAUGCAGGUCAGGAGGGGGAAGAGUCCAGUGGAGGCUGGUCUGAUGAGGUUUAAGGAUCCCAACGACAUCACCGAGUGUUCAAGAGCAAUGGAAUCUAUCCUCGACAUCGUCUAGCCCUUGUGCUGCUUUAGCUGUGGGCCUGGACCAGUAGCAUCCCAUCACCUGGGAGCUUUUAGCAGCCCACCAUCUGGGGUCUCAGGUUCCCGACCUCCUGAAUCAGACCCUGCGUGAGAGCAAAGCCCCAGGCAAUUUGUGGGCACAUCCUAAAGUCUCACUCUAGCCCAUCCGCCUGACAGUUCAAUUUCUGAGGUUUUUUGUUUUGUCCACCAAGCUUCAUCUUGCUCAGAAUUAUUACAGGAUGUCAUUUGUUUCCCACAUUUAAAAAGACAAGGGGUGUC
rnacentral:lncRNA from 1 species